rnacentral:rRNA from 1 species
AACACGUGAGUAACCUGCCCCCGACUCUGGGAUAAGCCCGGGAAACUGGGUCUAAUACCGGAUAUGCACCGUGAACCGCAUGGUUCUUGGUGGAAAGAUCUUUCGGUCGGGGAUGGACUCGCGGCCUAUCAGCUUGUUGGUGAGGUAAUGGCUCACCAAGGCGACGACGGGUAGCCGGCCUGAGAGGGUGACCGGCCACACUGGGACUGAGACACGGCCCAGACUCCUACGGGAGGCAGCAGUGGGGAAUAUUGCACAAUGGGCGAAAGCCUGAUGCAGCGACGCCGCGUGAGGGAUGACGGCCUUCGGGUUGUAAACCUCUUUCAGUAGGGAAGAAGCGAAAGUGACGGUACCUGCAGAAGAAGCGCCGGCUAACUACGUGCCAGCAGCCGCGGUAAUACGUAGGGCGCAAGCGUUAUCCGGAAUUAUUGGGCGUAAAGAGCUCGUAGGCGGUUUGUCGCGUCUGCCGUGAAAGUCCGAGGCUCAACCUCGGAUCUGCGGUGGGUACGGGCAGACUAGAGUGAUGUAGGGGAGACUGGAAUUCCUGGUGUAGCGGUGAAAUGCGCAGAUAUCAGGAGG